rnacentral:rRNA from 1 species
GACGAACGCUGGCGGCGUGCCUAAUACAUGCAAGUCGAGCGAGUCUGCCUUGAAGAUCGGAGUGCUUGCACUCUGUGAAACAAGAUACAGGCUAGCGGCGGACGGGUGGGUAACACGUGGGUAACCUGCCCAAGAGAUCGGGAUAACACCUGGAAACAGAUGCUAAUACCGGAUAACAACAGAUGAUGCCUAUCAACUGUUUAAAAGAUGGUUCUGCUAUCACUCUUGGAUGGACCUGCGGUGCAUUAGCUAGUUGGUAGGGUAACGGCCUACCAAGGCGAUGAUGCAUAGCCGAGUUGAGAGACUGAUCGGCCACAUUGGGACUGAGACACGGCCCAAACUCCUACGGGAGGCAGCAGUAGGGAAUCUUCCACAAUGGACGCAAGUCUGAUGGAGCAACGCCGCGUGAGUGAAGAAGGGUUUCGGCUCGUAAAGCUCUGUUGUUGGUGAAGAAGGACAGGGGUAGUAACUGACCUUUGUUUGACGGUAAUCAAUUAGAAAGUCACGGCUAACUACGUG